rnacentral:rRNA from 1 species
GAUUGAACGCUGGCGGCAGGCCUAACACAUGCAAGUCGAGCGGUAGCACAGAGAGCUUGCUCUCGGGUGACGAGCGGCGGACGGGUGAGUAAUGUCUGGGAAACUGCCUGAUGGAGGGGGAUAACUACUGGAAACGGUAGCUAAUACCGCAUAACGUCGCAAGACCAAAGUGGGGGACCUUCGGGCCUCAUGCCAUCAGAUGUGCCCAGAUGGGAUUAGCUAGUAGGUGGGGUAACGGCUCACCUAGGCGACGAUCCCUAGCUGGUCUGAGAGGAUGACCAGCCACACUGGAACUGAGACACGGUCCAGACUCCUACGGGAGGCAGCAGUGGGGAAUAUUGCACAAUGGGCGCAAGCCUGAUGCAGCCAUGCCGCGUGUGUGAAGAAGGCCUUCGGGUUGUAAAGCACUUUCAGCGGGGAGGAAGGCGGUGAGGUUAAUAACCUCAUCGAUUGACGUUACCCGCAGAAGAAGCACCGGCUAACUCCGUGCCAGCAGCCGCGGUAAUACGGAGGGUGCAGGCGUUAAUCGGAAUUACUGGGCGUAAAGCGCACGCAGGCGGUCUGUCAAGUCGGAUGUGAAAUCCCCGGGCUCAACCUGGGAACUGCAUUCGAAACUGGCAGGCUAGAGUCUUGUAGAGGGGGGUAGAAUUCCAGGUGUAGCGGUGAAAUGCGUAGAGAUCUGGAGGAAUACCGGUGGCGAAGGCGGCCCCCUGGACAAAGACUGACGCUCAGGUGCGAAAGCGUGGGGAGCAAACAGGAUUAGAUACCCUGGUAGUCCACGCCGUAAACGAUGUCGAUUUGGAGGUUGUGCCCUUGAGGCGUGGCUUCCGGAGCUAACGCGUUAAAUCGACCGCCUGGGGAGUACGGCCGCAAGGUUAAAACUCAAAUGAAUUGACGGGGGCCCGCACAAGCGGUGGAGCAUGUGGUUUAAUUCGAUGCAACGCGAAGAACCUUACCUGGUCUUGACAUCCACAGAACUUUCCAGAGAUGGAUUGGUGCCUUCGGGAACUGUGAGACAGGUGCUGCAUGGCUGUCGUCAGCUCGUGUUGUGAAAUGUUGGGUUAAGUCCCGCAACGAGCGCAACCCUUAUCCUUUGUUGCCAGCGGUUAGGCCGGGAACUCAAAGGAGACUGCCAGUGAUAAACUGGAGGAAGGUGGGGAUGACGUCAAGUCAUCAUGGCCCUUACGACCAGGGCUACACACGUGCUACAAUGGCAUAUACAAAGAGAAGCGACCUCGCGAGAGCAAGCGGACCUCAUAAAGUAUGUCGUAGUCCGGAUUGGAGUCUGCAACUCGACUCCAUGAAGUCGGAAUCGCUAGUAAUCGUAGAUCAGAAUGCUACGGUGAAUACGUUCCCGGGCCUUGUACACACCGCCCGUCACACCAUGGGAGUGGGUUGCAAAAGAAGUAGGUAGCUUAACCUUCGGGAGGGCGCUUACCACUUUGUGAUU